rnacentral:rRNA from 1 species
UUCCAGACUCCUACGGGAGGCAGCAGUGGGGAAUAUUGCACAAUGGGGGAAACCCUGAUGCAGCGACGCCGCGUGAAGGACGAAGUAUUUCGGUACGUAAACUUCUAUCAGCAGGGAAGAAAAUGACGGUACCUGACCAAGAAGCCCCGGCUAACUACGUGCCAGCAGCCGCGGUAAUACGUAGGGGGCAAGCGUUAUCCGGAUUUACUGGGUGUAAAGGGAGCGUAGACGGCAGCACAAGUCUGGAGUGAAAUCCCGGGGCUUAACCCCGGAACUGCUUUGGAAACUGUGCGGCUGGAGUGCAGGAGGGGUAAGCGGAAUUCCUAGUGUAGCGGUGAAAUGCGUAGAUAUUAGGAGGAACACCGGUGGCGAAGGCGGCUUACUGGACUGUAACUGACGUUGAGGCUCGAAAGCGUGGGGAGCAAACAGGAUUAGAUACCCCCGUA